rnacentral:rRNA from 1 species
AGAGUUUGAUCCUGGCUCAGGAUGAACGCUAGCGGCAGGCCUAACACAUGCAAGUCGAGGGGUAAUCCCGCUUUCGGGCGGGAACGACCGGCGCACGGGUGAGUAACGCGUAUGCAACCUACCUUUAACUGGGGGAUAGCCCGAAGAAAUUCGGAUUAAUACCCCAUAUAACUAUAGAUAAGCAUUUAUUUAUAUUAAAAACUCCGGUGGUUAAAGAUGGGCAUGCGUAACAUUAGUUAGUUGGUGAGGUGACGGCUCACCAAGACUACGAUGUUUAGGGGGCCUGAGAGGGUGGUCCCCCACACUGGUACUGAGACACGGACCAGACUCCUACGGGAGGCAGCAGUGAGGAAUAUUGCGCAAUGGAGGCAACUCUGACGCAGCCAUGCCGCGUGCAGGAUGACGGCCCUACGGGUUGUAAACUGCUUUUAUACAGGAAGAACUUUCCGCACGUGUGCGGGAUUGACGGUACUGUACGAAUAAGCACCGGCUAACUCCGUGCCAGCAGCCGCGGUAAUACGGAGGGUGCAAGCGUUAUCCGGAUUUAUUGGGUUUAAAGGGUGCGUAGGCGGGAUAAUAAGUCAGUGGUGAAAUACUGCAGCUCAACUGUAGAACUGCCAUUGAUACUGUUAUUCUUGAGUUCGAUUGAGGUAGGCGGAAUGUGUAAUGUAGCGGUGAAAUGCUUAGAUAUUACACAGAACACCGAUUGCGUAGGCAGCUUACUAAGUCGACACUGACGCUGAGGCACGAAAGCGUGGGGAGCGAACAGGAUUAGAUACCCUGGUAGUCCACGCUGUAAACUAUGAUCACUAGCUGUUGGCGAUACAUCGAUCAGCGGCAAAGCGAAAGCAUUAAGUGAUCCACCUGGGGAGUACGGUCGCAAGAUUGAAACUCAAAGGAAUUGACGGGGGCCCGCACAAGCGGUGGAACAUGUGGUUUAAUUCGAUGAUACGCGAGGAACCUUACCUGGGCUUAAAUGCAGAUUGACGUUUCGGGAAACCGGAAUUCUCUUCGGAGCGAUUUGCAAGGUGCUGCAUGGUUGUCGUCAGCUCGUGCCGUGAGGUGUCGGGUUAGGUCCCAUAACGAGCGCAACCCCUAUCGUUAGUUGCCAGCGGAUAAUGCCGGGGACUCUAACGAAACUGCCGGUGUAAACCGAGAGGAAGGUGGGGAUGACGUCAAAUCAGCACGGCCCUUAUGUCCAGGGCUACACACGUGUUACAAUGGUCGGUACAGAGGGCAGCUACCUGGUGACAGGAUGCUAAUCUCGAAAGCCGGUCUUAGUUCGGAUCGAAGUCUGCAACUCGACUUCGUGAAGCUGGAAUCGCUAGUAAUCGCGUAUCAGCAACGACGCGGUGAAUACGUUCCCGGGCCUUGUACACACCGCCCGUCAAGCCAUGGAAGCUGGGGGUACCUGAAGUCUGUAACCGCAAGGAGCGGCCUAGGGUAAAACUAGUGACUGGGGCUAAGUCGUAACAAGGUA